UACGUAGGUGGCAAGCGUUGUCCGGGAUCACUGGGCGUAAAGGGUGUGCAGGCGGGGCAGCAAGUCAGCGGUGAAAUCCUGCGGCUUAACCGUAGAAGUGCCGUUGAAACUGUUGCUCUUGAGUCCCAGAGAGGUCGCUGGAAUUCGUGGUGUAGCGGUGAAAUGCGUAGAUAUCACGAGGAACACCAGAGGCGUAAGCGGGCGACUGGAUGGGUACUGACGCUGAGGCACGAAAGCGUGGGGAGCAAACAGG
rnacentral:misc_RNA from 1 species